rnacentral:rRNA from 1 species
AACGAACGCUGGCGGCAGGCUUAACACAUGCAAGUCGAGCGCCCCGCCAGGGGAGCGGCCGACGGGUGAGUAGCGCGUGGGAACGUACCUUUUGGUUCGGAACAACUCCGGGACACUGGAGCUAAUACCGGAUAAGCCCUAACGGGGAAAGAUUUAUCGCCGAAGGGUCGGCCCGCGUCUGAUUAGCUAGUUGGUGAGGUAACGGCUCACCAAGGCGACGAUCAGUAGCGGGUCUGAGAGGAUGAGCAGCCACACUGGGACUGAGACACGGCCCAGACUCUUACGGGAGGCAGGAGUGGGGAAUAUUGGACAAUGGGCGCAAGCCUGAUCCAGCCAUGCCGGGUGAGUGAUGAAGGCCUUAGGGUUGUAAAGCUCUUUUGUCCGGGAAGAUAAUGACGGUACCGGAAGAAUAAGCCCCGGCUAACUUCGUG